GAAGAAACUUUGAGGGAGUCUCCAAGUCUUUCUUGGACUUGCUACUGUUCGAAAGCUACUCCUCCAAUUCAUGUCUUCAAUCUUCAGAUCCCAUGCAUCGAGUUGCAAUGCCGUCACUGUCUUCAAAUAAUGCUUGUAAGGAUCACAAAGGAUGGCCCGAUCGAUUUGCAUUAUAGAGGGCUACCGUGGUGAGUGUGGAGAUAUUGCCGCGAGACAUUGAGCAACAGAAAAACAAGAGUAUAGUCAUAUAGGGGUUGUCGAGGCUUUUGGCAUGGAUGAAACUCACAAGAGAAGGUUUUUGGCAAGAGCAAAUAGCCAUAUCGGGGCGUAUUAGUAACAUCUCAAUUAGUUGUUUCACCAAAUAUCUUGAUAGUUGGUAUUAAGAUUGAGUCGAGAUUCACCAAUGCACUCUUUUGAGUGUUCUAACAAUUAGUCCUAGUGCUCGAGUGUAUUUACUAUUUUCGCGUAGUUCUAAUUAUCUAUAGUAGUGAAAGUGAUUUCUUCAAUCAUAGUAGCUUCUGAUCCG